rnacentral:rRNA from 1 species
AUUGAACGCUGGCGGCAUGCCUUACACAUGCAAGUCGAACGGCAGCACGGGUGCUUGCACCUGGUGGCGAGUGGCGAACGGGUGAGUAAUACAUCGGAACGUACCUUAUCGUGGGGGAUAACGCAGCGAAAGCUGUGCUAAUACCGCAUACGCCCUGAGGGGGAAAGCGGGGGAUCGCAAGACCUCGCGCGAUUAGAGCGGCCGAUGCCUGAUUAGCUUGUUGGUGGGGUAAAAGCCCACCAAGGCGACGAUCAGUAGCUGGUCUGAGAGGACCAUCAGCCACACUGGGACUGAGACACGGCCCAGACUCCUACGGGAGGCAGCAGUGGGGAAUUUUGGACAAUGGGGGCAACCCUGAUCCAGCAAUGCCGCGUGAGUGAAGAAGGCCUUCGGGUUGUAAAGCUCUUUUGUCGGGGAAGAAACACCGGCUCUAACACAGUCCGGGAAUGAUGGUACCUGAAGAAUAAGCACCGGCUAACUACGUGCCAGCCGCCGCGGUAACAC